UGUGACAUUCUUGUUGUGUUCAGUGGGAAUAUGAAUAUUCCUCCCACACAUUAGCAAAUACUAUUUUUGGAUCUCUUCUUGAUUGGCAAAACUUAAAUGAAAUAAAAACACGCAAAAGCAAAAACAGAAGGUCAGUACUUUAUAUUUGGUGGAAUGAUUUCCCAAAGAAGUUAAUUAUGAGUAACACCUAAUACGCCUGAUACAGACAAAUCAUGACACCCGUCUGUGCGGAGUGCUUACAGCGAUUUCUCUGUAUAACUUCCUCGCAACUUCGAUUUUAAAAGAAACACAGGUGAAGGUACAAAAUUACAGCUAUCUAAAUACAUAAAAGUUUGCAACAUGUUCGCUAAUAGUUUGUUUCUAGCUGGUUAGAUAGCUAGCAACAAUAAUCUGUCUACUUUCAUAAGCUAGCUAACUUUUGCUUAUAUGGUCGUAGCUGUUGGUUAGGAGAAAUAGCUGGAAAAAAGCAUGUUGGCUAGGUUAGGUUUUCAAUAUAUCAUCAUGAAUGUCUAUAGAGAUAAAUUGUUUAUUUCAUGAAUCACAUCAUUUUUCUUCAUUAAUAAAUAUAACCUGCUGAAUAAGAUUAGAAAAGAAAAUGUUGAACAUGGAGAAGGAAGCUAUAUACCAGCAACACUAAUCACUGUCUUGAUUUGACUUCAACGAUUAUAUUUAGUUGUUUUGUGUCCUUUUUUUCUUGCUUGUAUAAUCGCUUGAUUGUUUGUUUGUAUCGUAUAGUAAAUAAGACGUACUUAGCAAUUCUUUUUUAUUUUUUUAAGAAUCAGAAGCACAAAGUCGAGAGGAAACAGGAAAUUUGUUGAAGAUGGAGAGGAAAGCUAUAUGCCAGCAUCCUUUUUGCCAAAUAUAUUUUGCUCUGCCUGGCAAAGAACGGUUUAUAAAUUGUCAGCUCCUGCCGAAGAACGAGAACCGAUAUAUGUGUAAAGAAAGUCAACUGGAAAAUAGGAGUAUAAGUUCAAUUUUUUAUCCUUUUUAUGCUUUAUAGAUAUCCAGAAAGUUAAAUGUCUUGAAUAUUUUUCUUGUUUGCUUAAUCGCUUGAUUGUUUGCUUGUAUCGUAUAAUAAAUAAGUCGUACCUACUUAGCAUUUUUUUUAUGCAUCGGUAGCACAAAGUCGAGAGGAAAGAAGAGAUUCCCCAAGCAUUAUAAGCUUGGCGAUAAAGACUGACAAAGAAGAUGCAGCGGAGAUGGCGGUGGUAGCGGUUUCGGCUUGUAAAUAUGAGAUUUCAGGUUCGAGUUCACACAUCGGCGUCACUUACGGAACAAUUAGUGAAUUGGUUUACUAUAAUUGAUUCCAUAAAGUGGCUCAACAAUUAUUUACUGUGUAAAUAGAGUGAAUUAUGUUAACUUUGAGGGAAGUGAUUUUACAAAAAGUUUUGUUAAGAAUUUCAGAUCUUUUUUCGCGAGAAUUAAUUUUCGCGAAAGCUAAAUUUUGCAAAUUAAAUUAAUCCCCACUGAAAUUACUUCCCUGAAGGUAGUAGUAUUUCAUUGCGUCGUCACUGAGUAGUAAUCUCAAAGGUUUUUCCAACCGAAAAAAACAUAUGAACCUCUAAUUUGUCAAUUACAGAGUACGGUGGUUUUUAUUCUGGAGUAGGAGGCGAUUACAAUAAAAGUAAUCGUUCUUCGUACAAUGAUCUCACGCCGACGUUCUCGUUUUAUUUUUUGUAAUUCAAACAGCGCGAAAUACCGAUGUUCGCUAAAAA